GCCAGACUCCUACGGGAGGCAGCAGUGGGGGAUAUUGCACAAUGGGGGGAACCCUGAUGCAGCGACGCCGCGUGGGUGAAGGAGUAUUUCGGUAUGUAAAGCCCUAUCGGCAGGGAAGAAGCAAGACGGUACCUGACUAAGAAGCCCCGGCUAACUACGUGCCAGCAGCCGCGGUAAUACGUAGGGGGCGAGCGUUAUCCGGAUUCACUGGGUGUAAAGGGAGCGUAGACGGCCAAGCAAGCCAGGGGUGAAAGCCCGGGGCCCAACCCCGGGACUGCUUUGGAAACUGUAUGGCUGGAGUGCAGGAGAGGUAAGUGGAAUUCCUAGUGUAGCGGUGAAAUGCGUAGAUAUUAGGAGGAACACCAGUGGCGAAGGCGGCUUACUGGACUGUAACUGACGUUGAGGCUCGAAAGCGUGGGGAGCAAACAGGAUUAGAUACCCCCGUA
rnacentral:rRNA from 1 species